rnacentral:miRNA from 1 species
UAAAGGUCCGAUCUGAGAUGAGA